rnacentral:misc_RNA from 1 species
AAGUCGUAACAAGGUCUCCGUAGGUGAACCUGCGGAGGGAUCAUUACUGAGUGAAGGGCCUCUGGCCCGACCUCCGACCCUUUGUCGUCCGACUGUGUUGCCUCGGGGGUGACCCGGCCGCUCUGCGGCUCCGGGGCCCCCGGCGGACCACUCAACUCUGCAUCAUGGCGUCUGAGUGAAUUUGUAAAUCAAAUCAAAACUUUCAACAACGGAUCUCUUGGUUCUG